rnacentral:rRNA from 1 species
CGGAGGGUGCAAGCGUUAUCCGGAUUUAUUGGGUUUAAAGGGUCCGUAGGCGGAUCUGUAAGUCAGUGGUGAAAUCUCAUAGCUUAACUAUGAAACUGCCAUUGAUACUGCAGGUCUUGAGUAAGGUAGAAGUGGCUGGAAUAAGUAGUGUAGCGGUGAAAUGCAUAGAUAUUACUUAGAACACCAAUUGCGAAGGCAGGUCACUAUGUCUUAACUGACGCUGAUGGACGAAAGCGUGGGGAGCGAACAGG